rnacentral:rRNA from 1 species
AUACGGAGGGUGCAAGCGUUACUCGGAAUCACUGGGCGUAAAGCGCGCGCAGGCGGGCUGAUAAGUUGGAUGUGAAAGCCUACGGCUCAACCGUAGAACUGCAUCCAAAACUGUCAGUCUAGAGUCUGGGAGGGGAAGAUGGAAUUAGUUGUGUAGGGGUAAAAUCCGUAGAGAUAACUAGGAAUACCAAAAGCGAGGGCGAUCUUCUGGAACAGUACUGACGCUGAGGCGCGAAAGCGUGGGGAGCAAACAGGAUUAGAUACCCUAGUAGUCC